GAAGAAGUUGCAGUUGCCAGCCUUUCCAACUUUAUUCAUUGGAGGAAACCAUGAUGCAUCCAAUUACAUUGGGGAGCUGUUUUCAGAUUGCAAGUGAAUAAUGGAAUUCCUAUGAUCAAGAGUUGGUGUGAUGACCCCCAUCAGACUCUGCACUUACUUCAGAACUUCCAUUUCUAGUGACGCUGGCUGAUGCUGAUGAUGUCUGUCCUAUCAUUGCUAAGAAAUUCAGUAACAAGGGACACGAGUCCCUUGUCUCUUCCUAGUAGUUCCUCUAACUGUCCCUCAUUUCUUACUUCAUGUUAGACAAUUUAUCCUUCAUUACUUGCUCAUUAUUAUCCCUCAUUGAGCCUUGUAUAAUUGUUUUUGCAUUAAG
rnacentral:misc_RNA from 1 species